rnacentral:misc_RNA from 1 species
AUAUAGUUGUGUGUGUGUAGUUAUUUCUCGGCUCUGCGCAUCGCGGAUUAGAGAUAUUCGCGCACGGAGGGGUUACGCGAACGCGAACACGAACACAAAGACGCACACCGUCGCUGCCUUCGUGUGCGGAGAGGAUUCCAACCCCACACUCGUCUUCCCGUCAGUGUGUACUGGCGUACGUGGGAGGGAUCUCACACGCAUACCGAGCAGCCACUGCGCAGCCGCGAGCCGCACAAGCUCGACCGCGUCUACACUCGUCACACUCCUCCUUCGCUGAGCGCGAGAAAGGAAAAGCAGGCACCCAGACAAACCGGGCUCGCCACUCCAACCAUGAGCAAAGCCAAGGAUGGCGCGGGGGUCGGUUCCCUCAACGACUCCAUCCCGCUUGAUAUAGAGGAGAGCUCAAUGUCUAUUUACUCCGACGAGGAGGACGAUGGCGACUACGACCCGUCCAGCCAGAUCUCCGAAGACGCCGCCUCCUCACUCGACUACAGCUCCGUCAGUCGCACCUAUGUUUCCCACUCGCGCACGAGCGGCAUGCAUGUGCACUCGGAGGACUACACCGGCACCGCCAGCUACUAUUCGAACGGCGGAGCUGCAUCCAACUCGUUCAGCUACGACGACGAGGACUACUCGAGCAUUUACGGCUCCCUGUCCUACGGCGACUCUGCGCUGCGCUCCCCACAGUCGGAGCUGAGCUCGACCUUCGCCUCGCUCUACUACGAGAACGAAUACGUGGUGAGCAUGCGGUCCACGCUACGCUUCCUGCGGCGUCCACUCUACUACUUCGCCUUCGCCACCGCCGGCAGCGGCGCGGUCGGGAGCAUCUGCCGACUAGCCACAACCUUUGCGAAGCGCUUCGUUGACAGCGGCGCGAGCAUCGCCGAUUCCUCCUUAGGCGCCUACCCGGGUGGUGCUGCGAGCUGCGCCGGUGCCUGUUCGAGCCUGCCGUCGGGGUACCUCAACGUGCCGGAGUGGCUGCGCGAUGUGCGAGCUUCGCUGCCGAGCUUGAUGGAGGUGCCGGCUGCGUGGAUGCUGCGCCGUCACGGCAUCCCAGUGCUCUCGGAGGUGAUGCAGAGACAGGAGCGGGAGUCCGCUGCCGCGGCGGCGGCCACCAUGGCAGAGCAGAUGAACUCCGGAGUGCAGGAGGUGUGGCAGUCGUGGCAGAAGACAGGGCCAGCGAUCCCGGUGGCGCUCUUUCUGCCUAUCUUCUCCAUAGUCGUCUUUAAGGUGGCGCAGCAUGUGCGGCCCAAUUCCGCAAACCUGACGGAGAUACUGCGACCACGGCAGGACGCUGAAGAUGUUGAUGCUGCCCCCACACACGUGAAGACCCCGUCACCGGCACGCCCGUCGCUGAUCAUGGACGCCAGUCCGAUCCAGGCACUGUCGUCCUCAGCGGGGAACUUGAGCGCGCAGUCGGCGUCAAUGAAUAUGCUACCAACCUCGCGCGGAACGGCGUCUGCCACGAUGAGCCGCCACAGCGCCACCGGCGACGACUCAAACGCGCAGCCGGCGCCUUUCGUAGUACCACCGGUCAACAUUGCUACCAUUACAAGCGUAUCCCCUGUAGUGCCGCGUGUGGGUGCGUCGGACACCGACGGCGUUUCUCCCAGCUCGCCGGGCGACUACCUCGGCGACUCGCACGACCGCUCCCGCUCGACGACGCAGGUGCCGCAGACGCACCGCCACAUCGCUGAUGCCGCGGUGCCGCAGGAUAGCGAGGAGGGUGGCAAGGUGCUUGAUGCGGACGUUGAUGUUGACGUAGCACACUCGUCACUGGUGUCGGUGUCUCCGUCGCCGCGGCCUGCAGAGGGCAACCACAAACCAGCGGGCGAAACACCCGGAACAGCACUGCCUGCUGCUUCCCCGUCAGUGUCGCCACUUCCGCGUAUGCCUCAGGCGCUCCCUGAGGUCAGCAGGGCGGGUCGACUCGUCUCCGUGAAGGACUCUCCCCUGCGCGGUGAAGUCGUGGCUGCCAUGGCAGGAGUGGCCGAUGUGCGGGAGGCAAACGCGGCUUUCAUAGCUGCCGUGCGCUACGGCUGCAGUGUUGUCGUGCUGCCGUCUGCCCUUCGUGACGUGGACGGGCUGCUUGAGGCGCCACCGUCGCUGACUGUGGAGUUCACGGACGACGUUGUCGCCUCUUCCACCGUCCUGGCGGAUCGUCGUGGUCUGACGAUGGUCGGCGUGACGGCACAGCAGUGGGAUGCGCAGGCGGAGCCGCUCGACACCUUUGCACACCCCGGCAACGCUCUUUACGUCUUCGUCGCGCAUGAGUCCUCCAGCCCGGCGGUGUUGGCCCGCGUGGAGACGGCGGUGGCGCACAGAGUCUUUGUCGGCACUUCAUGGGCGGCGGUGCCGGUGAACCAAGUCUUUUACGACCGCUUGCUAAAGGAGAAGGCGGUGCGGAAACAGCAGCAGGAGGCCCAGCCACAGCGAUAAGGGCGCCGUCUCUGCUCUGCCGUGCCCACCGUUGUCGCGUGCAGCUGCAGGGUUUCGCUCAUCGAGAGUGAGCGCAGCGCAUCUCCACACACCCUUUGCCUUCCCUCUCACCCACCCCCACCCCCGGCUGGCUGCGCACUCGUGCACACAUCUGCGUGUUGGCGGAUGUUUUCGAUCGUUGUCUUUUGAGCGCGUUACCGCUUUCCCUCCCUCGCUCUCUCAUAGAUACACGUACACACUCGUCUCGCUCUCGUCAGCCCUAUUCUGACGUCUGCGCGCAUUGCCGCUCUGUAUUGUACAUGCGCUGCCUCCGCCACAACGACGGCUCUCCCUCUUGCGUCUUCUACAUGCGUGCGCCAAUGUGCGUGUGCGUGUGCGUGGACUCUCCGUCUUGUCGCCCCCCCUCCUCCUCUCUUGGUUCUGCGUUUGUGUCUCAUAGAAGGUAUCUUCUCUAACGUAUCUCUCUCUCCCCCUCUCCCUGUUCCCGUUGUUUGCCAUACACGUCCCCUGCCCGUGUCGUUGCGUAGUCGCGCGUGUCUUGUCAUGUAUGCGUGCGUGUGAGCCGCUGAUGCUCCCAUCGUCGUGUCGCACGCAGGGACGGCACGCCGAGUCGGCGCUUCUUCUUCAUCCUUUCCCUCCAUGCCAACUUACGCGUACUCAAGCAUGUAAAGUGCCACUGCGUGUGCAACGCGGGGAUGACCGGUGACUCUAG